rnacentral:rRNA from 1 species
GACGAACGCUGGCGGCGUGCCUAACACAUGCAAGUCGAGCGAUAGACUUCGGUCUCUAGCGGCGGACGGGUGAGUAACACGUGGGUAACCUGCCUCAUAGUGGGGGAUAGCCUUCCGAAAGGAAGAUUAAUACCGCAUAUACUCUCGAUACCACCUGGUAUUUAGAGGAAAGGAGCAAUUCGCUAUGAGAUGGACCCGCGGCGCAUUAGCUAGUUGGUGAGGUAACGGCUCACCAAGGCGACGAUGCGUAGCCGACCUGAGAGGGUGAUCGGCCACAUUGGAACUGAGACACGGUCCAGACUCCUACGGGAGGCAGCAGUGGGGAAUAUUGCACAAUGGGCGAAAGCCUGAUGCAGCAACGCCGCGCGAGUGAUGACGGCCUUCGGGUUGUAAAGCUCUGUCUUUUGGGACGAUAAUGACGGUACCAAAGGAGGAAGCCACGGCUAACUACGUGCCAGCCGCCGCCGUAA